UAUCAGCUUGUUGGUGAGGUAACGGCUCGCCAAGGCAAUGACGGUUAGCUGGUCUGAGAGGACGACCAGUCACAAGGGAACUGAGACACGGUCCCUACUCCUACGGGAGGCAGCAGUGAGGAAUUUUCCGCAAUGGGCGAAAGCCUGACGGAGCGACGCCGUGUGUGGGACGAAAUCCUUCGGGAUGUAAACCACUGUCAGAUGGGAAGAUAUUGACGGUACCAUCAGAGGAAGGCCCGGCUAACUACGUGCCAGCAGCCGCGGUAAUACGUAGGGGCCAAGCGUUGUCCGGAAUCACUGGGCGUAAAGGGUAUGUAGGCGGUCUUGUAAGUCAGAUGUUAAAUCUACGGGCUCAACCCGUAGCCGCAUUUGAUACUGCUUGACUAGAGAGUGCUAGAGGAAAGCGGAACUUCCUGUGUAGCGGUGAAAUGCGUAGAUAUAGGAAGGAACACCAGUGGCGAAGGCGGCUUUCUGGGGCACUUCUGACGCUGAGAUACGAAAGCUAGGGGAGCAAACGGGAUUAGAUACCCCGGUAGUCCUAGCCCUAAACGAU
rnacentral:rRNA from 1 species